AUCCCAGGAGAAAAAUCCUCUGUUGUGUAACAGUUACAAUUGCUCAAGUACUCCAAAAAGCAAUCCAAACAUUAAGGACAUGAGGAAAUUUGGUUUUGAGGACACACUGCCCAGAGAGCAAUCAGCAGCUGGUGUGAAGCACAGUCACCACCCAGCCCCAUUCAACACAUGCAUACCAUGCUUACGAGAAGACAAUUACACAGAUGACUAUCCUCCAGAAAACGCCACAGAUUUUUAUUAUCCAGAAUACGUCACAAGUUAUUAUCGUGAAUUUGAAACUUUGUUUGAAAAGAAUUUGACAGAGUCUGCAGGAUCAUCACUCCACGGCCAUCUUCCCUUCUUCUUUGUCCUUCUCCAUCUUCUAUGUUUUUUGCUACAACAAUUCACACUUCUUUUGUAGAAGAUGUGAACAGCUUUGCUUUGAAUUAGAACAUUCCUCAAGGAGGAAAACAAAGAACUCUGUCACACAUGUAAAUUACUUCCCCUACAAUGAAUCAGUCAUCUUUUUUUAGUGCAGUUUAUGUAUUUAUGUAGAAACACAAACAAAUAUAACAGCUAUGUUUCCUCAUAGGUAGUAUAAAUUGCAUGAAUGUUGACUAGCUGUUUGUAUCUUCUGUAUUUCUUCCUCUCACAUUUCCUCACUAUCAUUCACUGGGUCCUAUUGUAAAUAAGAAAUAUGUGCCAACAAAAUGAAGCACUGGCUGAUCACUCCAGAUCUUUUAGUGCUAUCUGAUGUUCUGACAUCACUGGAUCAGCUGCUGCUGUCUCCCUGGAAUGCA
rnacentral:lncRNA from 1 species